CCGAUAUGUUGCCUUUAUCUGCAUUUGCACCUGCACUUUAAGUACUCGGUUUCUCUGUUGUGACAUAUAAAUAAUAUAACUAUGUCAGUUGAGGACUGAAGAGAUCAAUAUAUUAUUAUAUAAUAUGGGAAUAGAGGGACCGAGAACGAGGUGCAGGUGCAUCUGCAGGUGAAUGCCAUAUUGGAUUAUUGGCCAUGGUUUAACUUUAUAUACUCAAGCUAUUUGUUUGCGUUCAGUGGCUAGCUUCUGUUGUUGCAGCUGCUUGUGCUUCCAAGUUUUUUAUUAUAAAGGAUACACACGCACACAGACACAGUUCCUAUGCAGAUCUAGAUCCAUGUACGCACGGAGGGUGGAAUCCAAUCCGUAAUUAACGUUCAAAUUUUGACAAAGGGGUUCCAGCCAUCCAAAAUGAGCAUGAGGAAUGAGGACACUACGCGUCCAGGAGGCUAAGAACUGUUACUGAUUUAAUUAGAGGGUUUGCAGACAAUUAUACGUGCUGAAGCUGCCUUUGUUGACUUGAAUACCUUCUUUGCAAUGUUGGUAUUCUAGUUCUAGACAAAUGAAACUGAUGAAAACACAUGGAUGGCAUGAAUUUCAAUAAAUAAGUCCCAGUUUCGAAGUCUUCAUCGGGGAUGAUGAAUUGAGAUAAUCGAGGAUUGAUUUGUUAUUCUCACUGAAUAUCAAAUUCCUGGUUUUGAUGGUAGAGUCUUGAUUUUUCCAGCAAACGAUCAUUAUAUAUUGAACACGACAGUACCUACAUAAUCGUUUUUUAUUUUUUUAUUUUACAAUGGCCAGGCAGUUCUUAAUUAACUACUCUAUAUAGAAAAUUGCACAUGUUCUGUUUCUGAACUUUACUUAGUUUUGUUUUUUUUGUAUUCGUCAAUUUAUUUUUACUUAAUUUGGUUGCGA